rnacentral:rRNA from 1 species
UACGAAGGGGGCUAGCGUUGCUCGGAAUCACUGGGCGUAAAGCGCACGUAGGCGGCUUCUUAAGUCAGGGGUGAAAUCCUGGAGCUCAACUCCAGAACUGCCCUUGAUACUGAGGAGCUCGAGUCCGGAAGAGGUGAGUGGAACUGCGAGUGUAGAGGUGAAAUUCGUAGAUAUUCGGAAGAACACCAGUGGCGAAGGCGGCUCACUGGCCCGGUACUGACGCUGAGGUGCGAAAGCGUGGGGAGCAAACAGG